UACGGAGGGAGCUAGCGUUGUUCGGAAUUACUGGGCGUAAAGCGCGCGUAGGCGGCUUUGUAAGUUAGAGGUGAAAGCCUGGAGCUCAACUUCAGAAUUGCCUUUAAGACUGCAUCGCUUGAAUCCGGGAGAGGUGAGUGGAAUUCCGAGUGUAGAGGUGAAAUUCGUAGAUAUUCGGAAGAACACCAGUGGCGAAGGCGGCUCACUGGCCCGGUACUGACGCUGAGGUGCGAAAGCGUGGGGAGCAAACAGGG
rnacentral:rRNA from 1 species